UCAGAUUGAACGCUGGCGGCAUGGCUAAAACAUGCAAGUCGAACGCGAACGUGGGCUUCGGCCCGCAAGUAGAGUGGCGAACGGGCGAGUAAUGCAUUUCUAACGUACCCCAGGGCCCGGGAUAGCUCGAGGAAACUCUGGGUAAUACCUUAUAAUCUCACUGGUUCACAUGAACCUUUGAGCAAAGGCUUGCUGCCUGAAGAUCGGGGUACUCCCUAUCAGUUUGUUGGUGAGGUAACGGCUCACCAAGGCUAAGACGGGUAGCGGGUGUGAGAGCAUGACCCGCCGCAUCGGGACUGAGACACUGCCCGGACUCCUACGGGAGGCUGCAGUAACGAAUAUUCCGCAAUGCGCGAAAGCGUGACGGAGCAAUGCCGCGUGUGGGAUGAAGCAUCUAGGUGUGUAAACCACUGUCAGGGUUUGGGAACAAAUGACCAGACCCAAAGGAAGAGCCGGCUAACUCUGUGCCAGCAGCCGCGGUAAUACAGAGGGCUCAAGCGUUAAUCGGAAUCACUGGGCUUAAAGGGUCCGCAGGCGGAUCGGUAAGUAUCUUGUGAAAUACCAUAGCUCAACUAUGGAAUUGCUCGGUAAACUGCCAAUCUUGAACACAGUAGGGGCCAUCGGAACUCUAGGUGUAGCGGUGAAAUGCAUAGAUAUAUAGAGGAACGCCAAUGGUGAAGACAGACAGCUGGGCUGUUGUUGACGCUCAGGGACGAAAGCAUGGGUAGCGAACGGGAUUAGAUACCCCGGUAGUCCAUGCCCUAAACGAUGUGCACUAGGUCGCGGAGGGUUUGACCCCAUCGCGGCUGAAGUUAAAAUAUUAAGUGCACCGCCUGGGGAGUACGGUCGCAAGGCUAAAACUCAAAGGAAUUGACGGGGGCUCACACAAGCGGUGGAGCAUGUGGCUUAAUUCGAAGCAACGCGAAGAACCUUAUCCUGGAUUUGACAUGUAUGGAUUAGCUCUGUGAAAGCGGAGUGACGCAGUUUACUGUGGAACGUCGAUAGGUGCUGCAUGGCUGUCGUCAGCUCGUGCUGUGAAGUGUCGGGUUAAGUCCUUUAACGAGCGAAACCCCUGCCGUUAGUUGCUAACAGGUAAUGCUGAGGACUCUAGCGGGACUGCCGGUGUCAAACCGGAGGAAGGUGGGGAUGACGUCAAGUCCUCAUGGCCUUUAUGUCCAGGGCUGCACACGUGCUACAAUGGCGUAUACAGAGCGACGCGAGACCGCAAGGUGGAGCAAAUCGCAAAAAGUACGCCCCAGUUCGGAUUGGGGUCUGCAACUCGACCCCAUGAAGUUGGAAUCGCUAGUAAUCGCGUAUCAGCUACGACGCGGUGAAUACGUUCCUGAGCCUUGUACACACCGCCCGUCAAGUCAUGGAAGCCGGGAGUGCCCGAAGUCG
rnacentral:rRNA from 1 species